UACAUGGGGUGCAAACGUUGCUCGGAAUCAUUGGGCGUAAAGCGCGCGUAGGCGGUUACUUAUGUCGGAUGUGAAAGCCCUCGGCUUAACUGAGGAAGUGCAUUCGAAACUGGGUAGCUAGAGUACUAAAGAGGGUCGCGGAAUUCAUGGUGUAGCAGUGAAAUGCGUAGAGAUCAUGAGGAAGACCAGUGGCGAAGGCGGGUCUCUGGACAGUUCCUGACACUGAGACACGAAGGCCAGGGAGGCAAACGGG
rnacentral:rRNA from 1 species